rnacentral:rRNA from 1 species
AAAACAUUGUCUCAUGAACAAAAUAUGAGAUAGCUCCUGCCCAGUGACACAUUUGUUCAACGGCCGCGGUAUCCUAACCGUGCAAAGGUAGCAUAAUCACUUGCCUAUUAAUUGUAGGCUAGAAUGAAAGGAUUAACGAAAUAAAAGCUGUCUCAAUUAACAAACUAAAAAUUAUUCUCUACCUGAAGAAACGUAGAUAAUCUCGAAGGACAAGAAGACCCUAUAGAGCUUAAUUUCACUUAUAGACCCACACUAUAGAAAUAUUCGGUUGGGGCGACCCAGGGACAAUAAUCACCCAAUAAAUAAAAGAUACAUAAAUCAAAUAAAUGACCCUCUAAAGAUCACAAGAACAAGCUACCUUAGGGAUAACAGGCUAAUCCUACUCAAGAGUCCUUAUCAACAGUAGGGUUUGGCACCUCGAUGUUGGCUUAGGGUAUCUAUAUAGCGCAAAAGUUAUAUAAAGAUGGUUUGUUCAACCAAUAACACCCUACGUGAUCUG